rnacentral:rRNA from 1 species
UACGUAGGUGGCAAGCGUUGUCCGGAUUUACUGGGCGUAAAGAGCGCGCAGGCGGUCGUUCAAGUCGCGUGUGAAAGCCCCCGGCUCAACUGGGGAGGGUCAUUCGAUACUGAUCGACUCGAAGGCAGGAGAGGGUAGUGGAAUUCCCGGUGUAGUGGUGAAAUGCGUAGAUAUCUGGAGGAACACCGGUGGCGAAGGCGGCAUCCUGGACCGGUAUUGACGCUGAGGCGCGAAAGCCAGGGGAGCAAACGGG